rnacentral:misc_RNA from 1 species
GCUCGACCGCGGCAUCAACACGGCCAUCGUGCUCGGCGCCAGCACCUACGCCCUCACCAAGCUCCUCACCGUCGACCACGACUACUGGCAUGGAUGGACGAUCUUUGAGAUCUUGCGGUACAUGCCCGAGCACAACUGGUCGGCUUACGAGGAGGCCCUCAAGACCAACCCGGUGCUUGCCAAGAUGAUGAUUAGUGGCGUCGUCUACUCCCUCGGCGACUGGAUUGCGCAGUGCUACGAAGGCAAGCCGAUCUUCGAGUUCGACCGUGCUCGGAUGUUCCGGUCUGGCCUCGUCGGGUUCACGCUUCACGGGUCCCUUUCACAUUACUACUACCAUUUCUG